UAAGGAAUAUUGGGCAAUGGACGCAAGUCUGACCCAGCCAUGCCGCGUGGAGGAUGAAGGUCCUCUGGAUUGUAAACUUCUUUUAUCAGAGAAGAAACCCGGGAAUUCUUUCCCGGUUGACGGUACCUGAUGAAUAAGCACCGGCUAACUACGUGCCAGCAGCCGCGGUAAUACGUAGGGGGCAAGCGUUGUCCGGAUUUACUGGGUGUAAAGGGCGCGCAGGCGGAAUGGAAAGUCAGUGGUGAAAUCCUACAGCUUAACUGUAGAACUGCCUGUGAUACUUUCAUUCUUGAGUUCGGGAGAGAGAGACGGAAUUCCAGGGUUAAGGGUGAAAUACGUAGAUAUCUGGAAGAACACCCGUUACGAAGGCGGUCUCUUGGUCCGAUACUGACGCUGAGGCGCGAAAGCGUGGGGA
rnacentral:rRNA from 1 species